CGGCGAGGGGAGUGAAAAAGAACCUGAAACCGUGUACGUACAAGCAGUGGGAGCCUCUUUUAUGGGGUGACUGCGUACCUUUUGUAUAAUGGGUCAGCGACUUAUAUUCUGUAGCAAGGUUAACCGAAUAGGGGAGCCGAAGGGAAACCGAGUCUUAACCGGGCGUUAAGUUGCAGGGUAUAGACCCGAAACCCGGUGAUCUAGCCAUGGGCAGGUUGAAGGUUGGGUAACACUAACUGGAGGACCGAACCGACUAAUGUUGAAAAAUUAGCGGAUGACUUGUGGCUGGGGGUGAAAGGCCAAUCAAACCGGGAGAUAGCUGGUUCUCCCCGAAAGCUAUUUAGGUAGCGCCUCGUGAAUUCAUCUCCGGGGGUAGAGCACUGUUUCGGCAAGGGGGUCAUCCCGACUUACCAACCCGAUGCAAACUGCGAAUACCGGAGAAUGUUAUCACGGGAGACACACGGCGGGUGCUAACGUCCGUCGUGAAGAGGGAAACAACCCAGACCGCCAGCUAAGGUCCCAAAGUCAUGGUUAAGUGGGAAACGAUGUGGGAAGGCCCAGACAGCCAGGAUGUUGGCUUAGAAGCAGCCAUCAUUUAAAGAAAGCGUAAUAGCUCACUGGUCGAGUCGGCCUGCGCGGAAGAUGUAACGGGGCUAAACCAUGCACCGAAGCUGCGGCAGCGACACUGUGUGUUGUUGGGUAGGGGAGCGUUCUGUAAGCCUGUGAAGGUGUGCUGUGAGGCAUGCUGGAGGUAUCAGAAGUGCGAAUGCUGACAUAAGUAACGAUAAAGCGGGUGAAAAGCCCGCUCGCCGGAAGACCAAGGGUUCCUGUCCAACGUUAAUCGGGGCAGGGUGAGUCGACCCCUAAGGCGAGGCCGAAAGGCGUAGUCGAUGGGAAACAGGUUAAUAUUCCUGUACUUGGUGUUACUGCGAAGGGGGGACGGAGAAGGCUAUGUUGGCCGGGCGACGGUUGUCCCGGUUUAAGCGUGUAGGCUGGUUUUCCAGGCAAAUCCGGAAAAUCAAGGCUGAGGCGUGAUGACGAGGCACUACGGUGCUGAAGCAACAAAUGCCCUGCUUCCAGGAAAAGCCUCUAAGCAUCAGGUAACAUCAAAUCGUACCCCAAACCGACACAGGUGGUCAGGUAGAGAAUACCAAGGCGCUUGAGAGAACUCGGGUGAAGGAACUAGGCAAAAUGGUGCCGUAACUUCGGGAGAAGGCACGCUGAUAUGUAGGUGAAGUCCCUCGCGGAUGGAGCUGAAAUCAGUCGAAGAUACCAGCUGGCUGCAACUGUUUAUUAAAAACACAGCACUGUGCAAACACGAAAGUGGACGUAUACGGUGUGACGCCUGCCCGGUGCCGGAAGGUUAAUUGAUGGGGUCAGCGCAAGCGAAGCUCUUGAUCGAAGCCCCGGUAAACGGCGGCCGUAACUAUAACGGUCCUAAGGUAGCGAAAUUCCUUGUCGGGUAAGUUCCGACCUGCACGAAUGGCGUAAUGAUGGCCAGGCUGUCUCCACCCGAGACUCAGUGAAAUUGAACUCGCUGUGAAGAUGCAGUGUACCCGCGGCAAGACGGAAAGACCCCGUGAACCUUUACUAUAGCUUGACACUGAACAUUGAGCCUUGAUGUGUAGGAUAGGUGGGAGGCUUUGAAGUGUGGACGCCAGUCUGCAUGGAGCCGACCUUGAAA
rnacentral:rRNA from 1 species